GGAGGAAUGGCAGAGUGGUCGAUUGCGGCAGUCUUGAAAACUGUUGACUGUAACAGGUCCCGGGGUUCGAAUCCCUGUUCCUCCGCC
rnacentral:tRNA from 1 species